rnacentral:rRNA from 1 species
CAGUAGCCGCGGUAAUACGAAGGGUGCAAGCGUUACUCGGAAUUACUGGGCGUAAAGCGUGCGUAGGUGGUGGUUUAAGUCCGUUGUGAAAGCCCUGGGCUCAACCUGGGAAUUGCAGUGGAUACUGGGUCACUAGAGUGUGGUAGAGGAUAGUGGAAUUUCCGGUGUAGCAGUGAAAUGCGUAGAGAUCGGAAGGAACAUCUGUGGCGAAGGCGACUAUCUGGGCCAACACUGACACUGAGGCACGAAAGCGUGGGGAGCAAACAGGAUUAGAUACCCCUGUAGUCCCUGUCUCUUAUAC